AUGGUAUGCAAGCGCUGGGGCAGCAUCCUCUCUGACCCCCACUUCCGCAAACGCUUCCUUAAGCACCACAUGAAGCCUCCUCUGCUCGGCUUCUUCCAAGGCUAUGCCAACCGCUUUGCUCCCGUUAUGGACCCGCCGAACCGUGUCCCUGCCGCGAGCUUCUCCCUGCCCAGGAGCAGCACACCCCGCAGCGACCACGGAGAAUACAUGGGCUGCCGGCAUGGCCUCGCUGUCGUAAUCAAUAAGCAUGAGCGCAAGACCGUUGUGUGGGACCCACUCACCGGCCGACAUCACAUUGUGGCUUUUCCACCAGGACUCGACGACGCCUUUAUGGAGAGUUUCUGUAUGUGGCAUGGCGCUGUGUUGUGUGCUGAUGCCGAAGAUGGGCAUGUGCAUGGAGAUUGCUUCUUGAGCCCGUUUAAGUUGGUUUUGGUCUACUGCGGUGGAUACAAUACACAGGCAUUCUAUUCUGUCUACGACUCGGCGUCUGGUGUUUUGGGAGGUGUUUUCUCAACCGUGAUAUCACGUAUAAUUUCUGUGUUAAGGCCCAGCAUCUUAGUCGGGAAUGCACUUUGCUGGUUGAUUUCUAGAGGUGAUAUCCUUGUGUUUGAUUUCGAAAUUCAGAGCCUCAAUUUCAUUGAGAAGCCGGCAUACUACAAUAUUACCGACGGGUGUUUUCAGCUCUUACGUAUGGAGGAUGGUGGACUUGGCCUCGCCGUUUUGUUGGACCUGAUCAUCCAAUUAUGGGGCAGGAAAUCUAACUGUGAUGGCGUUGCCGAAUGGGUGUUGCUGGAGAAAACCAUUCCAUGGAGGGGGUGUUUCCAAGGAGAAUGCAUUCUUUAUUUUUCGUCGGUUACGAUGAGGACACAAAUAUGA
rnacentral:rRNA from 1 species